UAUCCGAGAUGUGCUCUUGAAGGAUCUCCCUCGACAGCGCAGUUAGGUCUUAGAGAAGGAACUGAUUUACCGCUCCGUGGGUAAGUAGCCAACUUCCUAUAAUCAUUCCGUGCUUUGCGCUAGAUUCAGUAUGGUGAUACACAUUUUUGAAAGAACAAGGGAAAAUAGCUCUUAUUAAGAGAAUGGCUGCUUUGGGGUUCCCUCUAACCUUCCGCUCCGUGGGUAAGUAGCCAACUUCCAAUAAUUAUUCCGUGCUUUGCGCUACAUUCAUUAUGGUGAUACACAUUUUUGAAAGAACAAGGGAAUAUAGCUCUUAUUAAGAGAAUGGCUGCUUUGGGGUUCCCUCUAACCUGUAACUCUAAAUUGAAUAAGAGAAGACAAAGCUACGCAUUCACUCGUAGCACUCGUUAGGCCUCCCAUUAAUAUGCCUGGCCGACAUGGAGCCAUGCGCAUGAUUCCAAGAGUCACUGUAGUUGCUACGGCCAGGCAGGGGAUUAAGGUAGUUUACUUGCUGGCUGAUAAGUCAGGUAGCGAAGCCUUAUGCU
rnacentral:lncRNA from 1 species